GACGAACGCUGGCGGCGUGCUUAACACAUGCAAGUCGAACGGAAAGGCCCUGCUUUUGUGGGGUGCCCGAGUGGCGAACGGGUGAGUAACACGUGAGUAACCUGCCCUUGACUUUGGGAUAACUUCAGGAAACUGGGGCUAAUACCGGAUAGGAGCUCCUGCUGCAUGGUGGGGGUUGGAAAGUUUCGGCGGUUGGGGAUGGACUCGCGGCUUAUCAGCUUGUUGGUGGGGUAGUGGCUUACCAAGGCUUUGACGGGUAGCCGGCCUGAGAGGGUGACCGGCCACAUUGGGACUGAGAUACGGCCCAGACUGCUACGGGAGGCAACGGUGGGGAGUAUUACACAGUGGGCGGAAGCCUGAUGCGGCAACGCCGCGUGCGGGAUGACGGCCUUCGGGUUGUAAACCGCUUUCGCCUGUGACGAAGCGUGAGUGACGGUAAUGGGUAAAGAAGCACCGGCUAACUACGUG
rnacentral:rRNA from 1 species